rnacentral:lncRNA from 1 species
GCCUCCAGACAGAACCCGGAACCUGAUACCAGCGAGGCUAAGACCGAGCUCGGCUCCCCGGCUCCUGAGAGAAUGAAAGUCAAGAAGCACGAAUCUGAGACGCUCAAAAUUAGAAGAAAAAAAAAAUACAUAAUUUAAAAUAAUGAAAGUCUGAAAUGCAAGUAAAAAUGAAAAACACAUCGGUAACAUUGUCCUCAGAGCAAGACACAAAAAUAAUUUUAAGGUAAGCAAAAGUUACAGAGAACCAACCCUACAAAGAAGAAAUUACAAAUAUGGCUAAGCGAUGCAAUGCCUACCAUUAGAAUAUUUCUGUCAGAUCUAAACCCCUGCAGGUUGCUCCUGUCAUAAUUUCCUACGAGAAAAAAAACAAAAAUAUCCACGGUUAAACGUGUUUAGCUACGUCUAAAAAAUCGUAGUAGCUGGUACAUCCCGAUUUGGUCUACAAGAGGAAAAAGUCUCGAUGGGCAGGACUUGCUAUUGUCAAAGGGAGCUUGGUAAAACUGAGACAUCGCGAUCGCCGGCAUUUCCUGACUUCCACGGGAGUUUUAAAAACACACAAGCAUAGCUAAGACAGGACUCGAUAUUGCGAAACCAAACUUGGUAUAAGAGCUCCCAACACUGCUAAACUGGUCAUCGCUAAACCUUUAAAAAAAAAAAAAAAGCAUUCGCUGGUACCCAGAUUUCCACAGGAGUUAAACAUUUCCUGCGCAGCUAAAGCAAGUCUUACCAGUAGGAAACCGGAACUUGCUAGGACUAAGAAACUUGAGGCUAGGCUGACCCCAUGGUUGUUAUGAUUAGAAAUCCGAGGCCACUGGAAACCCGGAGCUGCUGACCAACGAGUCACAGGGUAACUUCGCCUUCGCAUGGGGAAACGGGCUGGUGCAGUGGUGUCAUCUUGGCUCAGUGCAGCCUCGACUUCCUGGGAUCCAGCGAUCCUCCCGCUUCAGCCUCUAGAGUAGCCGAGACCACAGGAACAGAAACAACACACUCAGACUUGAGAAACUGGUCUGGUUUAAAAGGGUUCCUGGCCUUACAGGUGGGUAAGAAAUGUCACUUCCUGGCAGGCUGAGGAACAUCAGGAUAUUUGGAGGACCUUGACAAGGGAAGAAUUCACCGAAAUCUAUAGGUAUUCCAGGCAAAGUGUGAUAGCAAGAUCCUGGUAUGGUUUCCUAGCCUUGAGAGGCUUUUAAAAGUCUAAUUUGAGAUUCCUUAUUAAAAGAUCCAGAAAAGCCAACUUAAAGAGACCCUGUGUGGUAAAACACUAUUCCUGCUGCACUUGUGUAAAUAUUAGGCCAACUUUAAAGACACUAAAUUUAUUUUGCAAACAGAUUACUCUUACUAAUACUUUGAUGAUGUUUGAUAAAAAGGGAGUAAGUAUAGAGAAAAAACUUUCAGAGAAAAAAAUAUAGUGCACCUGUUAUUAGACUCUAGCUCAUUGUUUUUGAGGUUUUUUCGUCUACCUGAAAUCUAGACUGGAUCUUGAAUUUUUUGUUUCCUGUAAUAUCUGGCAAUGGGCUGGGUGUCAGAGCUCGCAACUGCAAUCCCAGCACUUUGGGAGGUCGAGGUGGGAGGAUUGCUGAAGCCCAAGACUUCGAGACCAGCCUGGGCAAAAGGCGAAACACCGUCUCUACAAAAAGUUCAAAAAUUUGCUGGGC